rnacentral:rRNA from 1 species
UACGGGGGGAGCAAGCGUUGUUCGGAUUUACUGGGCGUAAAGGGCGCGUAGGCGGCCACCGCAAGUCGACUGUGAAAUCUCCGGGCUUAACCCGGAAAGGUCAGCCGAUACUGCGGGGCUAGAGUGCAGAAGGGGCAACUGGAAUUCUCGGUGUAGCGGUGAAAUGCGUAGAUAUCGAGAGGAACACCUGCGGCGAAGGCGGGUUGCUGGGCUGACACUGACGCUGGUGCGCGAAAGCGUGGGUAGCAAACAGG